AAUCAUUUAUAUUUUGGCUGAUUUUUAUUGUUUAUAAAAUAACAAAGCAGUUAUAAUACUGUGGAUAAGUGCUUUUAUUGUAAAAUUUUAGAAAGACUUUUCUCAUUUUUCAAUAAUUCCAAUUAAAGCCGAGACAAUUGGGAAACUUCACCGAAACUAUUAUUACUGAAAUUUAAAACGGCACCGUUUUAAUGGAACUGAUUUCAAGACAUCGGGUAUUCCAAGCCAGUCCUGUAUUUAAAGAAAUAUUAAAAAACUGUAUGAUAUUAUCAUACACUAUGCUUACGCUAAGUGAAAAUGUAGAAAAAUUUAUCCAAAUAAAACAAUUUAUAACGACAAAUAAUCCGCAUUUGACAUCUAUUGAAAAUGCUUUCGAAUUAUACAAGAUAAGUAAAAAAUAUUCCAUGAAAGCAUUGCGGACAUUCUGUACUACAUACUUAAAAAACAAUAUAAAUGCUUUCACAGCGUGUACAAUUUACGAUUUCGCUUGCGAAGAGAAAGAUCGAUAUAUUCAAUAUUACUGUUGGAUCGCAUUCGACGAUUACUGCGAUCAAAUUCUGGAAUCCCAAGAAUUCUAUCGAUGCCAGAGGACUACUAUUAAAAGAUUCGUUAGUCGUCCAAUAUAUAGAACCU